rnacentral:ncRNA from 1 species
CCGUUCAACUCGUCCGCCUGUGGAGGCGGACUACGGGAG